CAAUAACCAGCACUGUGGUGAGAUCAAGCCCCUGUGGUUCUUAUUAUGAUUGCAAGAUGCCUUCAGCAAUAACCAUCAGGAACCUUUGAAAGAGAAAAGAACCAGAUAGAUUCUCUGAGGAGUGGUGGCUCCAUGUCACUGAAUUUUUUGUUCUCCGUGUCUCAUCGGCUCUGGUAAACUUUCUCACUUCACAAAGAGAACAUAAGGAGGAGAGUGUGAUGAAGAAUGAAGACAGAAUAAGAGACAGAUGAAAAUAGAUUUUUGAUACUUUAGUAAAGUAUAUGGAUCCAACAUGAUUUAGGUUGUGGACCACUCAGUUACUUAAGGCAACACCUGUCCCCUUCCUGCCCCUUAUUCCCCAGAAUCUUGUUUGUUGUUGUUUGCUCAAGUUCACUUGGGUUUCUCUUACUUGCAACUCAAAACAUUCUGACUAUAAUCCUCUUGACUUUUUUUCUGUUUUUACAUUUCUUCCCUUUAGAUCUCUCUGUUUGUUGUCUACUGCACCCCCAUCCAAUAUUCUAUCAAAUUUUAUUCAGUUUACUUUUUCUCAUUUUUUCCCAUCUUAUGUGGCAUUAUAUUCUCUAUUUCCUUUAGUACUCUUUCCAUUACUCUGCUACCAUUUUUUUUUGGUUGUAUCCAUUCUUUAGCCAGAUCUAAUAAAAAUAGAUUCCUCUCUGAAAUAUCUUCCACAACUUAUGGUCAGGUCAAACAACUUUAGUAAACUUUAUAUGUUUAGACAAAUUCCAACCACAAAAUAGAGAAACUCUAUGCUUUUUUUACAUUAGUCAAGGACAACAAUAGUCACCAUUUUCCAUCUCUUAUAUUUUCCUUCUGUACUAUCACCAUUUGCUUUUAAGAACUAGUCCACUUCAGAAGUAAUAAAGUCCAGAAUCCUUUGGAACCAGAAAAUUAUUCUGAAAUAUAUAUGCAAAUUAAGGGACAUUAGAGGUAUAUUAGACUUAUACUAACAAUGAAUAGUAACACAUAAUAAACAAAAAAUAAUACAAUGUACCUAUGUAUUAUGUGAAAUAUAGAGGAGCUAGAGAAACAAUAUAUAAUAUAUGGUGUUUCUUACAAUUGAUAGCAUCUGUUCACAUCAAAAACUACUUUGAAGAAAGUUUCUUUCAAAAUGUCAUUGCAAUGAACUAUAUUUAUAAAACCAAAGUAAGUGUAAAAUAAAGAAUGACAUGUAAAUGACGAUAGGGAGGUUACCAUAUCAUGUUUAAAUAACAACCAAGUUCAAAAUCCUUCAAAUAGGAAUUGACCUUACCUGUCUCUUGAUCAAGAUUACCACUUUUUCAUCCAAAACAUUCAUUUAAAUUCAAAGAGUGCUUAUAAAUAAGUGUGUAAUUAUAGCUGAUAGUGACAAGUUUCACAGAUCAUCUGGCUAACAUCCAAAAAUCCAGAUAUUUUUGAGGGUUAUCCAACUGUAAAUAGUCAAGAAGUUCAAUUCAAUAAACAUUUUAAUGUACCUUCUUAUAGUGUGGGAACUAAAAUGUUGAUAAGAUAUGUUCUUAGUGCUUUAAGAUAGAGUCUACUGUAGGAGAAGAUUCAAGCACAUUACCCUAUGAUAAGUAUUCUAAUGGGCCUAGCAAAAAUUACUCUGAGAAGACAAGACUAAGUUAUAUCUCAUUAUUUCUGAGGGAGUUAACGAAAAAUACCAUGUAAUGAAAGUAUUUGGAUAAGAGUAAAAGGAUAUCCUAAAUACUGGGUGGAGGUGGGGAAACUAUUUCAUACAGAGGGUUAACAAUGUUACAAAGAAAUGGAAAUCUAAGAGCAUAUUGACAAAGACUCUUCCUUGACCAAACUUUAAUCAGUUUCCUCUGAACUCUCUUUCCUAUUGGGCCUGAACCCUAGUCCUUGUACCAGUCUUUGGCCUGCUCAGCUGAGUUUUAGCAAGUCUUCCCACUGUUAAUAUCUAACCACCCUUGGUGAUUUGAUAUAUAAAUUCUUGCCUGCCUUUAGCAAGAAGUGUGUUAGGACAGUUUAGCAAGAAUCACCCUAUAUCUCUUCUUAGUAAUUUUCAAUCCAUUAACCACUUACUCUGUUCAUUGGUUCUAAAUCCCCAGCUGCAUUUCUGUAUUUGGAGUUGUAAGCAAUCAACUCUCCCCUACUGCAAAAUCCCUAUUGCAAUUGUCUUGCAUAAAGUCCUUUGCCAUUUUAAUACGUGUCAGAAUAUAUUUUAAUAAUAUGACACCUCUAAGAUAUUUAAUCAGUAUGACUGAAAAAUUGUGGGAGAUCAACAUUAUCCCUAUGCUUAAGAAGCUUACAAUGUAUUUUAGGAGAUAAAUAUUAAGUAUAAUGCAAACAGAUACAAUAAAUUAUAAAAUAAAGUUAUGUAUAUAUAUAUGUUUAAUCUCUGAGAAACCAUUUAAUUCUAAUUUGGUAGGAAUUGGGAAGGCUUCAAGGAGAGAGAAAUAAAGAAAAGAAUGCAGUGAAAGUGGGGAAAUGCAUUCCAGUCAGAGGAAAAUGAGUAUUUUAAACCAUUAAACCUUAAAAUUAUAAAGGCUAAUGGGAAACCAAAUGGCAUCUGUGCACAGUGGAUGAAGUAAGUUUUGAAUUUAGACUAUUUAAAUUUGUUUGAAGAAUUUGUUCAAAGAUGACAGAUUGGAUACAAGUGUUUUCUUUCAUUCCCUGCCAAAGUCUCAUAUAAAAGACAUAAAUGACAUGAAAUGGAACGCCUCCAUAGGACAAAGAGAAUGAAUGAAGAGAUAAUAGUGAAAUAUUUUGAAAAAGGAAAAUGGAUAAGUGAUGAUUAACUUCACAAAUACCAAACCAAACAAACAGACAAGCAAACUUGAUCCUAAAGGAACAAUGAAAAAAAAGAAGACUUCGAAAAUUCCAAAACACUCAGGAAAUGGUAGCACUGAAUACUGCUUGAUGUAGGUGCUUUCCAGAAUAAAAUUCAAUGACCUUUAAAGAGAGACAGAAGAGUCAAACUCCACACAACAUAUCCACAAAGUCCAGCAUAAUUUUAUGUACAUAUAUAUGACAUGGAAUAAAUAACUAUAAAUAUUUAUUCAGAAAAAUUAGUCUAAAAUCAAUUUUAAAAAUAAGAGGAAUUGUUAAUAGAAAUAGAACCCAUAAUAACUGAGAUGUCAGCGUUAGCAGAAAAGAUUUUAAAACUCUAACAUAAAUAGGUACAAGGUAAUAAAGGAAAAGAUGCACAUGAUGAGUAAAAUGAUGGGAAAUCAAGUCUGCUCAAAUGUCUGAAAUGGAAAUAGAAAUUCCAGGAUAUAAUAGUGCAAUAUCUAGAAUGAACAAAUGAAUGGGAUUACCAGAAGGUUAGCAGCUGCAAAGUAGAUAAAUAAAUAAAGAAACACACAACAGAAAUGACCCAACUCGUAUUUAAAAAGGGACAAACAAAUAAUUGAAAGACUAUUAAGAGAGCUCAAUAUUAUGUGAAACAAUAUUAAGAAGUCUGAUGUAAAUAAGUUGGAAUCCAUGAAAGUGAAGAAAGAGUGAAUGAUUCAGAAAAAAAACACAGUAUUUGAACAAAUAAUAGUGAAAAUUCCCAAUAUUUUACAAAGUAUCCAAAUCCAACAAAGCUAAACACACUCAAGUGGGACAAAUUUAAAGAAGACAGUCACAUCAUAGCCAAACACUGAAGAUAACACAAAUCUUAAAAGCAUCCAGAGAAAUAUGAUACACAUUUAGUUAUCAAGGAUAUCCAUAUGAAACCAUGCUGAUGUAUAAUCACACAUGAGAAUAGGUCAAAUUAAAAAGAA